GAUGAACGCUGGCGGCGUGCCUAAUACAUGCAAGUCGAGCGAACGGACGAGAAGCUUGCUUCUCUGAUGUUAGCGGCGGACGGGUGAGUAACACGUGGAUAACCUACCUAUAAGACUGGGAUAACUUCGGGAAACCGGAGCUAAUACCGGAUAAUAUUUUGAACCGCAUGGUUCAAAAGUGAAAGACGGUCUUGCUGUCACUUAUAGAUGGAUCCGCGCUGCAUUAGCUAGUUGGUAAGGUAACGGCUUACCAAGGCAACGAUGCAUAGCCGACCUGAGAGGGGGUACGGCGACUCUGGAGCUGAAACACGGUCCAGACUCCUACGGGAGGCAGAAGUAGGGAAGCGUCCGAAAUGGGCGAAAGCCUGACGGAGCAACGCCGCGUGAGUGAUGAAGGUCUUCGGAUCGUAAAACUCUGUUAUUAGGGAAGAACAUAUGUGUAAGGAACUGUGCACAUCGUGACGGUACCUAAUCAGAAAGCCACGGCUAACUACGUG
rnacentral:rRNA from 1 species